GAAAUGCCAUAAGUAAUGUGAAUUGCAGAAUUCAGUGAAUCAUCGAAUCUUUGAACGCACAUUGCGCCCGCCAGUAUUCUGGCGGGCAUGCCUGUUCGAGCGUCAUUUCAACCAUCAAGCCCCCGGCUUGUGUUGGGGACCUGCGGCUGCCCGCAGGCCCUGAAAAACAGUGGCGGGCUCGCUGUCACACCGAGCGUAGUAGCAUACAUUCUCGCUCAGGGCGUGCUGCGGGUUCCGGCCGUUAAACGACCUUCAUAACCCAAGGUUGACCUCGGAUCAGGUAGGAAGACCCGCUGAACUUAAGC
rnacentral:misc_RNA from 1 species